rnacentral:rRNA from 1 species
GGGACACGUGGUAUCCUGUCUGAAUAUGGGGGGACCAUCCUCCAAGGCUAAAUACUCCUGACUGACCGAUAGUGAACCAGUACCGUGAGGGAAAGGCGAAAAGAACCCCGGCGAGGGGAGUGAAAAAGAACCUGAAACCGUGUACGUACAAGCAGUGGGAGCCUCUUUAUGGGGUGACUGCGUACCUUUUGUAUAAUGGGUCAGCGACUUAUAUUCUGUAGCAAGGUUAACCGAAUAGGGGAGCCGAAGGGAAACCGAGUCUUAACUGGGCGUUAAGUUGCAGGGUAUAGACCCGAAACCCGGUGAUCUAGCCAUGGGCAGGUUGAAGGUUGGGUAACACUAACUGGAGGACCGAACCGACUAAUGUUGAAAAAUUAGCGGAUGACUUGUGGCUGGGGGUGAAAGGCCAAUCAAACCGGGAGAUAGCUGGUUCUCCCCGAAAGCUAUUUAGGUAGCGCCUCGUGAAUUCAUCUCCGGGGGUAGAGCACUGUUUCGGCAAGGGGGUCAUCCCGACUUACCAACCCGAUGCAAACUGCGAAUACCGGAGAAUGUUAUCACGGGAGACACACGGCGGGUGCUAACGUCCGUCGUGAAGAGGGAAACAACCCAGACCGCCAGCUAAGGUCCCAAAGUCAUGGUUAAGUGGGAAACGAUGUGGGAAGGCCCAGACAGCCAGGAUGUUGGCUUAGAAGCAGCCAUCAUUUAAAGAAAGCGUAAUAGCUCACUGGUCGAGUCGGCCUGCGCGGAAGAUGUAACGGGGCUAAACCAUGCACCGAAGCUGCGGCAGCGACACUAUGUGUUGUUGGGUAGGGGAGCGUUCUGUAAGCCUGUGAAGGUGUACUGUGAGGUAUGCUGGAGGUAUCAGAAGUGCGAAUGCUGACAUAAGUAACGAUAAAGCGGGUGAAAAGCCCGCUCGCCGGAAGACCAAGGGUUCCUGUCCAACGUUAAUCGGGGCAGGGUGAGUCGACCCCUAAGGCGAGGCCGAAAGGCGUAGUCGAUGGGAAACAGGUUAAUAUUCCUGUACUUGGUGUUACUGCGAAGGGGGGACGGAGAAGGCUAUGUUGGCCGGGCGACGGUUGUCCCGGUUUAAGCGUGUAGGCUGGUUUUCCAGGCAAAUCCGGAAAAUCAAGGCUGAGGCGUGAUGACGAGGCACUACGGUGCUGAAGCAACAAAUGCCCUGCUUCCAGGAAAAGCCUCUAAGCAUCAGGUAACAUCAAAUCGUACCCCAAACCGACACAGGUGGUCAGGUAGAGAAUACCAAGGCGCUUGAGAGAACUCGGGUGAAGGAACUAGGCAAAAUGGUGCCGUAACUUCGGGAGAAGGCACGCUGAUAUGUAGGUGAAGCGACUUGCUCGUGGAGCUGAAAUCAGUCGAAGAUACCAGCUGGCUGCAACUGUUUAUUAAAAACACAGCACUGUGCAAACACGAAAGUGGACGUAUACGGUGUGACGCCUGCCCGGUGCCGGAAGGUUAAUUGAUGGGGUUAGCGGUAACGCGAAGCUCUUGAUCGAAGCCCCGGUAAACGGCGGCCGUAACUAUAACGGUCCUAAGGUAGCGAAAUUCCUUGUCGGGUAAGUUCCGACCUGCACGAAUGGCGUAAUGAUGGCCAGGCUGUCUCCACCCGAGACUCAGUGAAAUUGAACUCGCUGUGAAGAUGCAGUGUACCCGCGGCAAGACGGAAAGACCCCGUGAACCUUUACUAUAGCUUGACACUGAACAUUGAGCCUUGAUGUGUAGGAUAGGUGGGAGGCUUUGAAGUGUGGACGCCAGUCUGCAUGGAGCCGGCCUUGAAAUACCACCCUUUAAUGUUUGAUGUUCUAACGUUGGCCCCUGAUCGGGGUUGCGGACAGUGUCUGGUGGGUAGUUUGACUGGGGCGGUCUCCUCCUAAAGAGUAACGGAGGAGCACGAAGGUUGGCUAAUCCUGGUCGGACAUCAGGAGGUUAGUGCAAUGGCAUAAGCCAGCUUGACUGCGAGCGUGACGGCGCGAGCAGGUGCGAAAGCAGGUCAUAGUGAUCCGGUGGUUCUGAAUGGAAGGGCCAUCGCUCAACGGAUAAAAGGUACUCCGGGGAUAACAGGCUGAUACCGCCCAAGAGUUCAUAUCGACGGCGGUGUUUGGCACCUCGAUGUCGGCUCAUCACAUCCUGGGGCUGAAGUAGGUCCCAAGGGUAUGGCUGUUCGCCAUUUAAAGUGGUACGCGAGCUGGGUUUAGAACGUCGUGAGACAGUUCGGUCCCUAUCUGCCGUGGGCGCUGGAGAACUGAGGGGGGCUGCUCCUAGUACGAGAGGACCGGAGUGGACGCAUCACUGGUGUUCGGGUUGUCAUGCCAAUGGCACUGCCCGGUAGCUAAAUGCGGAAGAGAUAAGUGCUGAAAGCAUCUAAGCACGAAACUUGCCCCGAGAUGAGUUCUCCCUGAGACUUAGAGUCUCCUGAAGGAACGUUGAAGACGACGACGUUGAUAGGCCGGGUGUGUAAGCGCAGCGAUGCGUUGAGCUAACCGGUACUAAUGAACCGUGAGGCUUAACCUUACAACGCCGAAG